rnacentral:tmRNA from 1 species
GGGGGUGAUUGGUUUCGACAGCGGAAGUGGAGUGAGGGGAAGCGGGCCGAGGAAGGCGACGAUCAUCUCGUUAACGAACGUCGCAAAAAAAAAUAAGCGCCGGUAAAACCCAGCGCGAGUUCGAACUCGCCGCCUGAGCGAGUAUCGACUCCGUCAGACCGAGUGUUCCUCCGACUCGGAGCCUGACGUCAGCUAGGAGGAUUACCGCCGGACCCGGCCUCGGGGUUCGUCGGGACAUCAAACAGUGGCUGGGCCUGUCACAUCAGCACGUUUGCAUGACUGAUGGGGUCAAGUAGAGACAGAGUGAACUGCGCCCGGAGAAGACCUCACAAAGCAACGUUGGACGCGGGUUCAAUUCCCGCCACCUCCACAG